GAUGAACGCUGGCGGCGUGCCUAACACAUGCAAGUCGAACGGAGUCCAGCCUUUAAGACCUUCGGGUCAAAGAGGGGAAGCCUGAGUGGCGGACGGGUGAGUAACACGUGGGCAACCUGGCUCAUAGAGGGGGAUAACAGAGAGAAGUUUCUGCUAAUACCGCAUAAGCACACACUGCCGCAUGGCAGAGGGUGAAAAGAGAAUCGCUAUGAGAUGGACCCGCGUCUGAUUAGCCAGUUGGCAGGGUAAGAGCCUACCAAAGCGACGAUCAGUAGCCGAUCUGAGAGGAUGAACGGCCACAUUGGGACUGAGACACGGCCCAAACUCCUACGGGAGGCAGCAGUGGGGGAUAUUGCACAAUGGGGGGAACCCUGAUGCAGCGACGCCGCGUGAGUGAAGAAGUAUUUCGGUAUGUAAAGCUCUAUCAGCAGGGAAGAUAAUGACAGUACCUGAAUAAGAAGCCCCGGCUAACUACGUG
rnacentral:rRNA from 1 species